rnacentral:rRNA from 1 species
AUGGCGUUUGCUGGCAUGUCUCUCGUCACCGCUGAGGGCAAGCUGUGCACGUCUACCGUGUCGCCCAUCGACUCCCGCGCGGCCCGCGGGUACCACCUGCUCGCGGUCGAAGGCUUCUCGAGAAACAAGACGCCCACCGGCCAGUACAUCAGAUCUCGCACUUUCUUGGUUGGAGGCCGCCGCUGGUAUCUCAACUACUACCCUAAUGGCUGUGACUACCAGUGGGACGGUUGGGUAUCGGUUUCUAUUGGCCUUGAGGACGACGAAGAUGAUGACGCUGACGAUGAUGAGCAAAAGCAGCCCGUGAAGGUCCGGCUUGCCAUCUGUUUGAUCGACCAAUUUCAGUGGCAAGAGUCAGUAUACAUCCAUGAAUGUGAAACAGAAGAUUUUGUUCUCAAUUCUGUAAUCUGCGAUAAAGAUUUCAUAAGAAGAUCUACGUUGGAAAGAUCUUCGUAUCUCAAGGAUGACAGCUUCAUAAUCCGUUUCGACGUUAGCGUACUUGACGUCAAGGCCGACGUCAACACGGAGGUUGGCGCUACCACCAUCGUUUCUCGGUUCAUCCAAGUCCCUCCUUCCGACCUGGCAAUCCACUUCAGGCCUUGUUCGGUUGCAACAAAAUUGAAGGGGAGAGGUUUAUCCGAACAAGGCCUCAAGGAUCUCCUCAUGUCCAAGGAGGGUGCUGACGUGACGUUUGAGGUUGGCGGCGAAGCAUUUGCUGCGCAUCAAUGUGUGCUUGCAGCGCGAUCUAUGGCAUUCAAGUCACAGCUGUUUGGUGACACUCCUGGUGGUGCUACUGUGAAGAUCGAUGGUAUAGAAGCAGAAGUGUUUAAGAGCAUGCUAACUUUCAUCUACACCGACACAUUGCCUGUACCUGACUGGAAUAAAAUACAAGUGUGGACACCAGAGGGAGCCCCAAAAGCAGUCCAACAUGUAAUGUGGCUGCUGCAGUUGCUUGAAGCUGCGGAGAGAUAUGAUCUCCAUAGGCUCAAGUUGAUCUGCCAAGACGAGUUGGGCACCAGCAUUCAGCUGAAGACGGUAGCGGACAUCAUUGUUGGAGCUGAGCGGGGACAUUACCCGGUGCUUUGUGCUGUUAUUUUGAGCCUUUGCAGGAUCGACUGGUGUGUGUUUUGCGUCAGUUGGCUCGUUUUUUGCUGGGCUCGUGGAGCUGGCGGGUGGUGGCCAUCUCGUGCCCACUCAUUAAGAAAGCCCGGCCCAUUUCUGCGGAACGUGGAUAGUCGCUGCCCCUCUCAUCUUAUCCUCUUCCUCCUCAUCUUCUGUCAGUCACUCGCUCCUCUCUCUGUUUCAGUCAAUGUCCUCUACUCAUCCUCUUCCUGUCGCGAGCUGGGGUUCGUGGGGUUAGUUGCUAGAUCUUCUCCCACUGCCUCAUCUGCUCCUACUGCUUCAGUCCAUGGCUUCUGUUCUUCCUCUUCCUGUCAUGAGCUAGGGUUCUUGGGGUUUGUUGCUAGAUCUGCUAACUUAGGUGCUUCUCCAUGGUUAUCUUUGGUGCUUGCAGGUAUUUUUGUCUGCUGCAUCCUUUGCCUUAGUUCAUCUUGCUCUUUUCUCUUUAGUCCCCUCAUGCGCCUAACUUUGCUAGAUCUGCUCACCUGGGUGCUUCUCUGUGUUUUUUAUGGUGUUUGCAGGUCUUCACAGUCGGGUGUUUUGGUUGCUGUAGGAUCUGCCGUUGCUAUGACAUGGUUUGCCCCAUUUGUCAUUGCCUGGGUGCCCCUUGUGUACCAUUUGCGGCAAAUCAAGAAGUUCCUGAAGUUUUCGAUGUUCUGCUUGAUGAGGACUGCUUUAGGAGGAUGUAUGAUGGUCAUGCAAUGGAUGUUUGGCCGACUGGAGAAGGACUUUGGAAGGAAGAAAUGUGAGCAGAAGAACUACAGAGAGGUCAGAACAGAUCUGAGGUUUGUUCCAGCGUCCAUGGCAGCGGUUGAGUCGUGCGAUGUCGAGGAAGGGAAAGGAAGGAAGAAGACCUAG